GAUCACAGCGUGCUGGGGCUGGGAGGGCUUCACAGCAUGGCAGCAGGUUGUGCUGCUCCUGUGCAUCCCAGAGCUAUUUGGAAGCAAAGCCCACCACUCUGUGGAAAGCACCUGAAUGGUUUCUGAUGCAUCUGAUGGGUGAAACAGCGGUGCAAUGAGCUGCUGCUGCUGCUCACUGUGCUGCAACUGGGAACAAUUGCUGCGGUGGUUUUAUUUCUGUAGUUCAACGUUUUGUUGAAACAUUGCUGUGCCAAAGCCUUGCUUUUGCUUUUGCCUUGUUCCUGGAGCAGCAGCAGCAGAUGCUGUGCUUUGGGUGGAGCAGCAAAGCAUUCUGCUUUGCUCAGCUGAGAGCAGGCACUGCUGCGCUCCAUGUGCUGCAGUUUUUCUGUGCUGGAUCUGCUCAGGUGCAGACCAGGUGGCUGCGUGGGGCCCUCUGUGCAGGGAGCUGAGCCUUGGGCAAUGCAGGCACCAAUCCCCAUCCCGUCCUGCAGCAGGCUGCUCUGUGCUCUGAGCAGGACUGCUAGGCGCUUUGGAACUCGUUUCACAGCCUGGAUACUUCAGAAAUGAAAGAAAGUAUUUUAUUUUCCUGGGAGAGCUGAUUGCUGGCAUGAGCAGCGCCCGGAGCCCUUCUUGUGCUGUGAUGGAGAGCACUGCAGUCAUAAAGGGACUCCAUAAAGCGGUGCUUCUCCCCACAGCGUUGGGGCCAUGGUGUUGCCCAGUGCUGGCAGCCCAAGCAGAGGUACAUCUUUACAAAAGCCUUUUAACAUUCUUUUUUUUUUUUUUUCUUUUUCUCCUCCAAAUAAUUGCCUUAUUAAAUACCUGCAUUUCCUGGUUGCAGCUGAGCAAAUAACUCUUGCUGAGUACUUUCUGCAGGGAGUUCAGCUGCACUUCUUGCACAGCCCCCACAGCUCUCGCAGUGAUGAGCAGUGGUUUGUUGCACAGUGGCUCGCUGUGCUCCGUGCUGGGCUGGUGUCUGCUCUGCAGUGCACCCUCAGGUCCUCCAAAUCCACUCACUGUGACACCAAAGUGUGGGCUCUGAGUGAGAGCACUUCUUUCUGGGAGUGCUGUCAGCAGCGAAUGCGCUGUCUGUCUUCUGGAAAUAUCUAUCAGUACCUGCUUUUAUCCUUCUCUGCUCUCCAGCAAUGGGAGUGUGGGGCUCUGAAUGCAGCUGAAGGUGUUCCACAGAUAUUUGUGCAGCAGCCCAACAGCACAGCGCUGCAGCAGCCCCGGCCGUGGCACUCACAGCCCUGGCUGCAGUUGGCUCGGGGCUGCACUUCCCCACCACUUGUCACGGCUGUGCUCGGGGCUCUGCUGGCCGCAGUGGUGUCAGCAGCUGUGAUGGUGCAGCCCACGGCCCCGACCUUCCCCCAUGGCACAGCCAAUGCAUGCCGGGGUGCAGUGGUGGUGGUUGGGUGCCCAGGAGGGACUUUGACUUUCACCAAAGAGUUUUAUAGGGGGCAAAUUUCACUCUCACCACUGAAGGAUGGAGUUAGGAGCGCAAAGAGGAGUUUUUCAUUGCCCUGAGUCAGAUUCUCCUCUCCAGUGUCUGCUCAGCUGAACAGCCCGGUGACGAAUGGCGCGUGCAUGCUGUGGGAAUGGCAGAUUUGUGAGCCCUUCAGCGGGAGAAGUGAUCUCCCUUGCCACUCUCAGACCGCGCUGCGGUGGUUUAUAGCCCUUUCAUAGCAGGGAGUUUGAGCCCAGGCUCCCAUCCUCAAAUUGGCAUUCUGUUUUUCUGUGUUGGGUUACGUCGGGUCCGGGCACGGCGCUGGGCUGUGUGUGAGGGGCUGAGAGUCCUCGUGGCUGGCACGAGUGGGGUGAAGUGUCACAGGUUUGGGGAAACGCAGGUCACGUUUCUUCUGUGUAUGGCAAAAAAGCAUUAAAGGAACAGUGAGGGCAAGUAGGAAGUCCUUAGGGCAAGAACAGUGCUGCAGUGAGCAGUGCGGGUGGAGGCAGAGGCGUUAGCUGGGCGGUUUGGAGACCCUGUGCGUGGGUUUCUGGCUGUGCGUACUGCGCCAUUACCUCUAUGCGUAUGAAGUGACUUCAUGAAACUUGAGUGGAAUAACUUUGUAAGUCUUUUCCCACUGAGAAGGAUGGCAAAAAGUCUCUUGGCUCUUCACCAGCUCUGGGGCAGAUGGCCAUGGGACAUCUCUGUGCUGGCCGGGGCUGAUGUUCCAGCCCUGGUUGUUCCACCACCGGGGGGUCUGAAAAUAUCCUGGUCACAUCGUGGGUUGAAUCCACUUGUGGCUGGAAAGAACCUUGUUUUUAGGUUGAAUCAUGUCUCUUUUUAUAGCCUGAUGGUUGUGUUACUGUGAUUGCAGUUUCCAGCCCAAAGCAGCGCCUGCUUGGGUUAACGAUCCUCGUCAUGUAGAGCACAAGGGAACAUAUUUUGCUCAUUUCCCAGAAAAGUGAGCGUCUCCUGGGGAUGCUGUGCGCACAGCUUUGUGUCCCCAUCGGGGGCUGGGAGCAGCACUGGUGCUGGCCGAACCCACCCCUGCUGGCAGCCCGGGGCGGGGGCUGACCCCGUGCCCUCCCUGCCCACCCCGUGCCUCACUCAGCAGCACCGCGUGUGGAGCAUCCCCAGGAGAUGCUGGGCGUGGGGGGUGGGCUGGGGGAGCUCAGAGGUCUUUUCCAACCAGAAUGUCUCCCUGGGGCACACUGGGAACUACAGUGGGGCUCUGUGGGUGUCCGCUCCCAUCCCCACAGCCCCGUGCUGUGGGAACCUCUGUCAGGGCUGCAACACACUGCACACUGGUUUGCAAUUAGUAACCAUUAAUUACUCGUGGUUGUGGAUGAUAAAUGACAGCUUGGUUUUCCGAUUUGCUCGUUGAUUCCUGUUGGGUUAGUUUUCAUUGGUGUCCAUCAGAGCCCUUUGGCUGCUGGUUCAUUUUAGGAGCCAGCUGAGAACAGCCCUGCUGCUGCUCUGCUGAGAUGGGGCUGAAAGGGCUGAAUGUGUCCGAAGGAGGGAUAGCCAGCAUACAGCAGGGCUUGGUUUCCUUUUGUCAUACGUGGCAUAACUGAAUAAUGCUGCAAAAAGACCUCUGCAGAGGGCCUUUAGAAAACUCUGCUGUCUUGUUCUCUGCUUUGUUGGCUUUUAAAGUAAUGAUUGCGCUGAGAAAACUGAAUCUGAGGAAUUACAGCAGAAAAAAAGCCCGGCACGUAAAGAGAAUGAGAAAAUGGUGCCUACGGGUCGCGGUGUGACUGCUGCCUCGGUGUGCACGGGGAGGGGGAGCAGCAGCAGUGCGGGGCUGCGCGUGCGGAGCGCGGUGCGGUCUGUGCUGCCUGCAGCGGUGCGCCGCGGUUGGCACCUGGCUGCGUGCACGGAGCGGGGCAGCGUGUCGGCUGCAGCCGGCAGGAGGUAAACACAUUACUGCAAAUGGGGGAUAAUCGGUGACACAAAAAAGCUGGAAUGAGUGGAGCUGGGCUUUGCUUUCAGAUGAAGCGCCGCCCAGGGCCAUCAGCUGCCCCACACUGCGCUCCCGGAGCAGAGCUGUGCACGCGGUUCUCCCGAGGGCUGCAUCCCUCAUAUCAGGCAGUGCAGAUUUUGCUGAGGCUGUGAUAAGCAGAAAAGUCGAUUCCGUUUUCUUCAUACCUAUGUGCACGCAAAUUAAUCGCGUAUUUUACAUAUGAAUGUGUAUUAAAAUCGGUAUGCGUAUAUACUCGGUGUUUGUUCUGGUUCCCCCGGCUUUGUCAGAGCACGAGGAGAUGUACUGCUCACACAGGUGUGCCCAUUCUGACACCGCGGGGCGUUCUGGAGCUGCCCGUGUGCACGAGCUGCAGCUGCGGGCGGUGCGUGAGCGGUCCCAUCUGCGCGUGGGGAUGGCCCGUAGUACCAACGCGGGGCUCAGGAAUGUGUUGCUUUGUGCCCCGGUUUUGCAGGUCCCACAAAACUUGUGGUUGCUGCCCCUGCGUUGUUCUGACUGCUUCGGAAGCACCCAACACCCUUCGGCCCUUUCCUCUGCUCCACGUUGGCUCUGAAUUUUGGGCCGCGGUUUCAGAUUUCGUUUUCUAAGCAGUGAUUUGGGAUAACAGUUUGAUUUGGCGCACACGUGAGAAAUGCACCUGCAGGGGCUCCAGCGGGGGGGUCCUCCGUGCAGCGCCGCCUUCUCAAUGGGGGUGGUUACUGAGUUAAUUGGUGACGGCGUUGGCUCAGUGCCAGCGGUGCUCAGACCGCGGGAGCGGAGGCUUUCGGAAGGGGGGGUUUCCUCUGCAGGAAACGGUUUGACUCCCGUGAACCUCACAGCGACGCGAUGGAAACGGCUCUCAGCGCGGAGCUCUGUGCUGGCGGCUGGGACUCAGUGUUCCCGGACAAAUGAAGGGAGGGAGGGAAGAAAGGGCCCUGAUGGAACUCGUGCAAGUUCUCUUCUCUCGUUGAGAAGCCCCGGGACUGCAGCACCUGUCUGCGUGCAGUCGGUCCCUGCAGCUUUUUCCCUCCCAGUAAUGCUAUGAUGCUGCAGAUUCCAAAGGCAAAGAGCCGCUCCCGGCACAGCCGCUGUGCAGAGCCGCAGCAGUGUGUGGUGUGCAGCCCGAAUGCUGGAAUGGCAGCGCUUCUGCUGUGUUCUUCCACGGGUCUGUUUGCUGCAAUCAGUGUGGGACAGAGUGCUUCUCAUUGGUGGCACACCGUGCUGUGCCCCAGGACGUGCCUGGGAGGUUGGAUGGGGCCACAUGCGCUGUGACACAGUGUGUCCCGGGGCCGACCUUCCCCUGCACCUCCAGGUGUGCGUAAUGCUGUCCUUCAUCACUGACCCCUCCUCUGGGUAACGUUGCCCACAUCACGGAGCUCACUAACAUAGCGGAUUUUCAGUGGGUGUUCUGCACCCAAUAAUUCUGUGCAUCGCUGGUAUUCCUGUGUCUCAUCCCCAGAGCCGUGUUGUCCUCGGGGCACGGGUACGUUUCACAGCAGUUAUCUGCAGCAUGUAUUGCUUGGAAUCAGAGCACUGAUGGAUCGAUCCAUAGUGAUUUCAGUCACAGCUGCCACAUUAUCCCUGUGCCCACAUCUCAGUGUUUGCAGGGAAGUUAGCAAAGCUGGGCCUCCUGCAGGCCAAGUGCCGGGGGCUCGGGGUGGGCAGGAGCAGCAGGUGUGCAUCCCGUGCUGCUGCAUAGCGCCUGCCAUGGCCGCAGCCGGGGGUGAGAGCUCCGUCUGUGCAGCCGCGGCGGGGACCCGAAGCAUUGCCAGACCCGCGUGCCAUGGGGGCUGUAAAGUUGGGAUUCCAGAGAGCUAUUGGAAAAACUGCUAUUUCAGAUGCAGCGGUAAAUUGAAAUUAAAUUUAGCUUUGUUUGGCUUUGGCGCUUUUGAUUAUUCCUACGCAUGUAUUUUUAAAAUAAAUAUCUUCCCAGCUCCGCGGCACUGCAGAUGUAUUAAAGCUGGAAGGAGCGGGGGGUGACUCAGAAAACCCUGUGAUUCUCUCAGGACUCUUUGCCUCAGCGCUGUGUUUGUUUGUUUUCUCAUGGCCGGGAGCUCUGCCUGCGGAUGGAGCUGCGGGGUAUCCCCGCUCCGUCCCCGCGCUGGGCUGGGAGUGGGCUCAGCGAGCCCCGUGCUGCGGGGUGGCACAUCCUGCUCCUGCGGCCCCCUUCCCACACAGACAUCGCAGGCUGCAGUUGCAGCCCCGUGGCCGGACCCUAUCGCAUGUGCAGAGCAGGUGUGGGUGUUGUGGGUGUCCCACCACAGCCGCUCAGCCUCCAGCCCGUGCCGACCCCGCCUGGCACUGCGCCCUCACUGAUCGGUGCCAGAAAGUUGACGUGUGGGUAACGUGGUGAAACUGUGCAUUGGGCUCUCACACAUCUCCUACUGUUCCUCUUUAGGAGGGGAUAAACACAAAGCAGCAGUGCCUUUCAGUAAUGCAGUUUGGAGCUGCACAGUCAGAAGGGUUCCUGCAGCCACGUGCAGCUAUCAGCAGAGGGUUCUGAUUUCUCACAGUGACUGCGCUGCUGCUGUCACCUCCGGGCGGGAGCUGCCCGUGUCUGUGUGCCGGUGCUGUGCCUGCAGGCGCUGCUCUGUGCUGUGCAGGGCCGGGUCCUGCCAGAGAGUUACCUGCCAGAGCUGGUUCACAUCUGACACAGCCUCAGCUACUCAAAGCAGCAUUUAUGGGCACCAUGAAAUAAACUAUUAUGGCAGCUGACAACUGCAGAGGGAGUUUGUUUUGACUGGAAUCAAUGGUUCUGAGGAUGGGUCGGGGGUUUCCCUUUAAUGGGAACUGAAAAAGGAGAUAAGGAGGGGAAGGUUCAAAAGAACAAAUCCUGUGAUUUCUGCCCGCUGCACCUCCUGCUCUGCACAUCGAGCACUGCUGCUGCGGGGGCACCGACCGGGACAGCAGCACUGCUCAGCCCUGGAG
ensembl:lncRNA